rnacentral:rRNA from 1 species
CAGUCGCCGCGGUAAUACGGAGGGUGCAAGCGUUAUCCGGAUUUAUUGGGUUUAAAGGGUCCGUAGGCGGACUUAUAAGUCAGUGGUGAAAGCCUGUCGCUUAACGAUAGAACUGCCAUUGAUACUGUAAGUCUUGAGUAUAUUUGAGGUAGCUGGAAUAAGUAGUGUAGCGGUGAAAUGCAUAGAUAUUACUUAGAACACCAAUUUCGAAGGCAGGUUACCAAGAUAUAACUGACGCUGAGGGACGAAAGCGUGGGUAGCGAACAGGAUUAGAUACCCCCGUAGUCCCUGUCUCUUAUAC